rnacentral:rRNA from 1 species
AGUGAACGCUGGCGGUAGGCCUAACACAUGCAAGUCGAACGGCAGCACAGUAAGAGCUUGCUCUUACGGGUGGCGAGUGGCGGACGGGUGAGGAAUACAUCGGAAUCUACUUUUUCGUGGGGGAUAACGUAGGGAAACUUACGCUAAUACCGCAUACGACCUACGGGUGAAAGCAGGGGAUCUUCGGACCUUGCGCGGUUGAAUGAGCCGAUGUCGGAUUAGCUAGUUGGCGGGGUAAAGGCCCACCAAGGCGACGAUCCGUAGCUGGUCUGAGAGGAUGAUCAGCCACACUGGAACUGAGACACGGUCCAGACUCCUACGGGAGGCAGCAGUGGGGAAUAUUGGGCAAUGGGCGCAAGCCUGAUCCAGCCAUACCGCGUGGGUGAAGAAGGCCUUCGGGUUGUAAAGCCCUUUUGUUGGGAAAGAAAAGCAGCAGGUUAAUACCCCGCUGUUCUGACGGUACCCAAAGAAUAAGCACCGGCUAACUUCGUG